rnacentral:rRNA from 1 species
AUUGAGCGCUGGCGGCAUGCCUUACACAUGCAAGUCGAACGGCAGCACGGGAGUAAUCCUGGUGGCGAGUGGCGAACGGGUGAGUAAUGUAUCGGAACGUGCCCAGUCGUGGGGGAUAACGUAGCGAAAGCUACGCUAAUACCGCAUACGAUCUAUGGAUGAAAGCGGGGGAUCGCAAGACCUCGCGCGAUUGGAGCGGCCGAUAUCAGAUUAGGUAGUUGGUGGGGUAAAGGCUCACCAAGCCGACGAUCUGUAGCUGGUCUGAGAGGACGACCAGCCACACUGGGACUGACACACGGCCCAGACUCCUACGGGAGGCAGCAGUGGGGAAUUUUGGACAAUGGGCGCAAGCCUGAUCCAGCAAUGCCGCGUGCAGGAUGAAGGCCUUCGGGUUGUAAACUGCUUUUGUACGGAACGAAACGGCGAGCUCUAAUACAGUUUGCUGAUGACGGUACCGUAAGAAUAAGCACCGGCUAACUACGUGCCAGCCGCCGCCGUAA